rnacentral:rRNA from 1 species
AUAUUAAUAAGCGGAGGAAAAGAAACUAACAAGGAUUCCCCUAGUAACGGCGAGUGAAGCGGGAAGAGCUCAAAGUGAAAACCGGGUGCCCAGGCGGGUUCUCGGGUUGUAGACUAGAGAUGUAAAGUCAGUAGUGGCCCGGGUAGAAAUCCUUUGGAACAGGGUGUCAGAGAGGGUGAGAACCCCGUCUUUGACUCGGAGCCCGCUGCGUACGACUUGCAUUCAAUGAGUCGAGUUGUUUGGGAUUGCAACUCUAAAUGGGUGGUAAAUUUCAUCUAAAGCUAAAUACUAGCGAGAGACCGAUAGCGAACAAGUACCGUGAGGGAAAGAUGAAAAGAACUUUGAAAAGAGAGUCAAAAAGUACUUGAAAUUGCUAAGAGGGAAGCGAUGGCCACCAGUCGUGCGCUCAGGGAUAUUUAGCGUCGUGGUGGGUUCCGGCGGGUGCGGGCCGUUCUGUAUGGUCGGCGCGCGUUCGUCGGGUGCCCAUGCGGCGUGUCGUUCCUGGGUGCGGGUCAGCAUCGGUUCGGACAGCCGGCGGAGAGAGUUGCGAGGAAGGUAGGCGCGUCACGGCUCGCCCGUGGAACGCUGUUAUAGCCUUGCAGCAG